UUAUAAAAAAAUUAUUUAAUAUAUUAGUUUUAAUUAUUUAUAAUAAAAAUAAUUUUAUUAUUAAUAGUUUUUGUAUUUUAUAUAGAUAAAAUAAUUUUAAUUAUAGUUAAUUAGUAUAGUGAUAGAAUUUUUGAAAAUAUAUAAAUAUCAAAAAAGUAAAUUUUAUUUAUUGUACCUUUUGUAUCAGGGUUUAUUUAAAAAUUUUUAUUUAUAAAUAAUUUUCUCGAAUUUAAAUGAGAUAAGUUUUUAUUAAAGUUAAUGUAUCAUCAUUAUUUUAAAUAAAAUUUUAGUAAUGAAAAGUUAUUCGUAUUUAAAUAUAUCUAGUUUUUAAAGAAAUGAAUUUAAUUCAUAUUAUAAUUUUAUAUUAUAUAUUUUAUUAUUAUUAUAUAAAUUAUAAUAAAUAUUUUAAGGGAUAAGCUUUAAAAUAAAAAUUAUAAAUAAAUUUUUAUUAUUAAAAAAAAAUAGGAUUAGAAAUUUCUUUUUUUAAUUAAAAUGUUAUAAUUAAUUAAUUAUAUUUAAUAAUUUAUAUUUAUUUUAAAUUUUUUAUUUAAAUAAUUUUAUUAAUAAUUAAAAAAUGCAAUAAUGAUAAAAUUAGUAUUAUUUAUUAUAUAAAUAUAAAAUUUAAUAUAAAGAUUAAAUUAAGGAAUUCAGCAAAUAAUAUAUUCACCUGUUUAACAAAAACAUGUCUUUUUGAUAUUAAUUUAAAGUCAGGCCUGCCCACUGAAAUUUUUAAAGGGCCGCGGUAUUUUGACUGUGCAAAGGUAGCAUAAUCAUUUGUCUUUUAAUUGAAGGCUGGAAUGAAUGGUUUGAUGAAAUAUUAACUGUCUCAAUUUAAUAAAAUUAAAAAUUUAAUAUUUAAGUUAAAAAGCUUAAAUUUAAUUAAAAGACGAGAAGACCCUAUAGAUCUUUAUUAUUAAAAAUUUAAUUUAUAUUUAGUAUAAUUAAUUAUUAAUUAAUUAUUAAUAAUUUUAUUGGGGUGAUAGGAAAAUUUAAUAAACUUUUUUUAUUUAAACCCAAAAAUUUUUGAUUUAUUGAUCCAUUUUUAGUGAUUAUAAGAUUAAGUUACCUUAGGGAUAACAGCAUAAUUAUUUUUGAGAGUUCUUAUCGAUAAAAUAGAUUGUGACCUCGAUGUUGAAUUAAAGAUUAUUUUUAGGUGUAGAAGUUUAAAAUAUAGGUCUGUUCGACCUUUAAAUCUUUACAUGAUUUGAGUUCAGACCGGCGUAAGCCAGGUCGGUUUCUAUCUUUAAUAAAUUAAAAUAUUUUAGUACGAAAGGACCAAAUAUUUAAAAUAAUUUUAUAUUUAUGAAUAUUAUUAAUUAUAUAAAUAA
rnacentral:rRNA from 1 species